GUUUUUAUAGUGUAGUUAACACAUUACAUUUUCGUUGUAAAACCGAAAUAGUUAUUUCUAAAAACU
rnacentral:tRNA from 1 species